GGAGAAGUGCGAGAGUGGUUGAAUCGGGCGCUCUCGAAAAGCGCUAUGCCGGAAACGGCAUCGAGGGUUCGAAUCCCUCCUUCUCCG
rnacentral:tRNA from 1 species